rnacentral:rRNA from 1 species
UACAGAGGUCUCAAGCGUUGUUCGGAUUCAUUGGGCGUAAAGGGUGCGUAGGCGGCUUGGUGGGUCUGGUGUGAAAGCCCCGGGCUUAGCCCGGGAAGGGCGCUAGAAACUGCCGAGCUCGAGUGCCGGAGGGGAGAGUGGAAUUCCUGGUGUAGCGGUGAAAUGCGUAGAGAUCAGGAGGAAUACCGGUGGCGAAAGCGACUCUCUGGACGGCAACUGACGCUGAGGCACGAAAGCGUGGGGAGCAAACAGG